CGUCUAUAUACGUAUAGCAUAUCAAUAAGCGGAGGAAAAGAAACUAACUAGGAUUCCCUCAGUAACGGCGAGUGAAGCGGGAAGAGCUCAAAUUUGAAAUCUUCAAGGUUCUACCUUGACGAAUUGUAGUUUAAAGAAGUGUUUUCUGUUGGAGUUUUGGUAAAAGUUCUUUGGAAUAGGACAUCAUAGAGGGUGAGAAUCCCGUAUUUGACCAUUAUUUCCAACUUUGUGAUACACUUUCAAAGAGUCGGAUUGUUUGGGAAUGCAGUCCAAAAUGGGUGGUAAAUUUCAUCUAAGAGCUAAAUACUGGCGAGAGACCGAUAGCGAACAAGUACCGUGAGGGAAAGAUGAAAAGAACUUUGAAAAGAGAGUUAAACAGUACGUGAAAUUGUCAAAAGGGAAGCGUUUGACACCAGUGUUGUUUUCUCGAAAAUCAAUUAAAAAUGGUGGGAUUUUGUGUUGUAUUGACCUUAUCAGCUUUCUGCACUUUUUUCCUGUCUUUUUUAAUGCACUUUUCGUUUAACAAGUCAACAUCAAUUUCUUUUGUUGUAAAAGAGUCAUUGGAAGGUGGCUUUCUUUUCGGAGAAAGUGUUUAUAGCCUUUGACUUCUGCAAUCGGAGAGAUUGAGGUCUGCAGCGUAGAUCCUUCGGGGUUAGAUGCAUUUGUGCUAAGCUAUAGCCUUUCAUAGACAACUUGUUGACUAUGAUCAGUCAUGUAGCUUACUCGCUUAUGUCAUUUUACCUACGCUUAGGAUGUUGACGAUCAGCUGAGCGCG
rnacentral:rRNA from 1 species